rnacentral:rRNA from 1 species
UACAGAGGGUGCUAGCGUUGUUCGGAAUCAUUGGGCGUAAAGGGCGUGUAGGCGGUUUGUUAAGUCAUGUGUGAAAUCCCGGGGCUCAACCUCGGAAUUGCCUUCAAAACUGGAUAUCUUGAGUUCGGGAGAGGUGAGUGGAACUCCGAGUGUAGAGGUGAAAUUCGUAGAUAUUCGGAAGAACACCAGUGGCGAAGGCGACUCACUGGCCCGAUACUGACGCUGAGGCGCGAAAGCGUGGGGAGCAAACAGG